UCAUUAUCCAUAACGACUCUCGGCAACGGAUAUCUCGGCUCUCGCAUCGAUGAAGAACGUAGCGAAAUGCGAUACUUGGUGUGAAUUGCAGAAUCCCGUGAACCAUCGAGUCUUUGAACGCAAGUUGCGCCCGAAGCCCUUAGGCCGAGGGCACGUCUGCCUGGGUGUCACG
rnacentral:rRNA from 4 species